ACGAAAAAAUAAAGGCAGGGUGCCGGAGAGAGAUCUCCGGAUAAUCGGGAAGCAGCAGAAUCUGCGCGAACUCGUCACCGUAUGCGGGGAGUCCGUCUGUCACUGCGAGAGCGGGAAGGCAGACAAGGGGCUGUGAGCCGCGAGCCGGGAGACCGGCCCUGUCUUUUAAGUACCUU
rnacentral:ncRNA from 19 species